rnacentral:rRNA from 1 species
UGGCGAAUGAACGGGGAAAAGCUCAGCAAAGAAAUCGAGGACUCCGGCCUUGAGUUGUGGACUUGAGAGGUAUCGCCAAUGGUGGCACGGGUGGGGGCCUCUUGGAAAAGGGCACCACAGAGGGUGUGAGUCCUGUUUGCCAUCUGUAGUCCGCCGUGUACGGCAUGCCUCCUCAGAGUCACGUUCCUUGGAAUUGGAGCGCGAAGGUGGUGGUGGCUUUCAUCUCAAGCUAAGUAUGGGUUCGAGACCGAUAGCAAACAAGUACCAUGAGGGAAAAUUGAAAAGAGCUUUGGAAAGAGAGUUAAAAGUGCCCGAACUUGCUGAUAGGGAAGCGAAGGGAGCUGACGUUGCUUGGUAACAUCUUCUGCGCAAGACUAGGAUGGGUUCUGAUUGCGAUGUGCGUAGUGUUUCUUGCCGUGCGUGUCGAUGCCAAGCAAUGAGUGGGGAGAGCUCCAGGGGUAUGAUUGUUUCUGUCCCCGGGUAGACGAAGGUGCCUGGUUGCAUCCAUUCGU